rnacentral:lncRNA from 1 species
ACAAUCUUUUGAUUCUUGUUGAUCUCCCAUGAUCUUCAUUGUUCCUCAUGGAGUAGGUGAUAUGUGUAUUUUUAUAUAUAUUUUUAUGCACUUUAUCUUAAUAUUUUGGCCUUAUUUAUUCUAUUUUAGAACUAAAAAGUACUCAUAAUACUUUGAAUUAUGUUUUGCAGCUAUUUGUUGUCGAUAAAGCACAAAAGAAAAGACUGAAGCGGAAGCCGGGCUUAGAAGCUAAAAGAAAGAAAAGAAUGCUGAGGUAGCGAGUACGCCCCGCGUAAUGAAAUGGUACGCGCCGCGUACACCUUUGCACCGGAUAGACUUGAUCGCGUGAUUAUCUUGAGUACGCGCUGCGUAAUUCUAAGUACGCUCAGCGUACUUAGGUCGGCCACAAAGACUAUAAAUGUCGAUUUUUAGCUAACCAGGAAGGGGGAUUCGACUUCUAACCUAAUUUAGUCGACAAUUAACUUCUAUUAAGCCGUUUUGAGGGUCUAGAAGGCGGCCGGAAGGCCGUUAAGCUAACGGGAGCAGAGAUCGGAAGGGUUGGAGAGCGGAUACAUGUCGAUUAUCAUAUGGAUUGUUAACGUGACCAUGUUUAGCAUUCCAUUGUGGUACUUUUCUGUAUUUAGUUUCUGAUUUGGGUGUAAAAACCUUUUACUUUGUGUUUAUGAUUGAAUGAAGCUUUGAUUAUUAGACUAAUUGCUAUAUUAAAUAGUUUAUUUGUGUUUAAUUUAUCUUGCCAAGCUUGUUUAAAGAUCCUCAUGUGUUAAUGAUGAUUAUUUUCUGUUAAUUGUUAAGUGAAUUGAGUUGCUUGAACAUCUGCUUGAUUUGCUUGUCUCUUAUGAUUUUUGAUGACCAUCGAGAUUAUAAGACUAGAAAUAACGAAUGUGAAACUAGGAUUAAUUUGAGAAUAAGUAAGUUAAUGUGUGAGCCUUGUUUGAUGACCAUCAACAAGAGGUUGAUUAAAUGUCUACAUUGAUUAACUAUAUUUACAAGUCUUGCUUGAUACGAACUGAACACUAGGAAGCAUGUUAGUUUAAUCAACUGAUCACUGUUUGAAUUGACUUGUUUGCUAAAGGAUUAGUUAUAGUGAACGCGAAUCUAAUCAUUUUAGGAAUCGGUGAACAUGAAUAAAUGAAUUUGUGUAUGCAAUUGUCUAUGUUUUUAAGGUGUAAUUUAUCUAAACCAAAGUACCUGAAGAGAUGUGCUUUCCUGUUAGUUUAUCGAGAGUUGUUAAUUAAUUGUUAGUUUGAUAUUUAUUUCUUUAUUCUUUUCGUAUGACAUAUAACCUAUAACCAAAUAUAUUAAAUUAAUCCACCGUUCCCUGUGAUCGACACCCGACUUACCUAAGCUAUACUGUAAUCUGACUAGGUACACUGCCUAUAAGUGCAUAGAUAGUCUAAGUUUGUUAGGUUAUAAAUAUUAAAAUUAGUGGGUACUUUUGUGCACAUCAAGUUUUUGGCGCCGUUGCCGGGGAACAGCUUGUCAUUAAUUUAUUUUAUUUGAUUAUUCGUUAUUUGUUUUUAGUCAGUUUUUAUUUUUAGUUGAUUUUCGAUGAUAUCAUUUCACUUGUCGGGAAGGUUCUUGUUUUUAUUUUGCAGGAAUUUGGGAUUGUACACAUUGCUUGACAUUACUUUUUGCAUGGGUUUCGGCAAUGAAAGCGAUUAGGGAAUUCUUGACGUGCUUAGCCUACUACUUUGUUGAUUUGUCCAACUCAAUCCAUGAGGCGUAGUAUCGCAAGGCGUAUUGUGGUGGUUAAGUGGAAGACCGAGCUCUUGCUGUUCUUGACUAGUUAGGUCACUUCUUGUUCCGCUUUUAGUUAAAGGUGCAAGGAAAACAAAGGAAAUAUUCUAACGGGUCCCGAAAUUGGGUGUUUUCGCAAACCAAUUCUUGCAUGCAAAUGUUUUUGAUCAACCAUUGUCGUUUGAUCUCGACAAAGAUAAGUGGUUAUGACGUCUCAUAUAUUUAUUUAUUUAUUUUUUAUCACUCAUCGUGAAGUCAUCAUUAGCUAAAGAAAUUAAAAAGAAUUUUUUCUUUAGAUUUUAAGUCCCUAGAUUAAAUGAUUUAAAAAGAAAAGGAAAUUCAAUUAAAAGAAAAAAAAGGAAAUUUUCAUUUAAACUUACGCCUUGCGUAAGUAGGAUUACGCCUGGCGUAAUGAGCCCCGAAUCGCGAAUGAACAUUUUAGGGUCUUGGGGUUACGCCCCGCGUACAUAAGCGACCAGGUAAAUAUCUCUUGACCCUUUGACUUCGCUGUUAUUUUCAAACCCAAUUCCUUUCUCGCAUAAGCUGUGACGGCGACUCUCUCCAGAACUUUCGAUUGUGCUUCGUUCUUGUUAAAUUCGAUACUCAAGUAAGCUUUUUCGUUCACUCUAUGUUUUGGAUUUGUGUUUAAUUUGAUGAAAUAAGCAGCAUUUGGCUUUUGCUCGAAAUCUAGGGUUCAUAGUAUUCUUGAAUUAGGGCCGAUUUCGCAAUUAUGUGUUCGGAUUACCACUUGAAUGGAUCGAUUUCGGUUAAUACACUAAACCAUCGAACCUAAUUUCGUCUUAAUUCCGUCCCACACCAUCGAUUUGACCUUGGGGUCAUACGCCAAGCGUACCCCUGUGACUUCGAGUUCUUGACUAGCUUCAAGUUUUGACUGCUAUGCAUGUUUCCUAUUAAAUGUUUUCUAAUAGACAAAAAUUCAUAGGGAUUGAUUCAUAUUUUUAAGGGUGGUCCCGAUUUUGUUUUACUGUGAUUGGACCACGCAAACCUUAUGCUUGAUAUACCUCAUAUCUAUGCCAUGCUGUGUUUAUUGCUUACAGUUGGUUAAUUUGAAAAAUUGUGAUAUGGUUUAUGAUUUUAGCACAAGCAAGCGGACCAGGACACAGAAUCGCAAGCCUGGACGUACGCCCAGCGUACGCUGGAUGUACGUCCAACGUACCGCCCCUAUCCAGUUUCAUUUUUUUUAAAAAAAUUAUUAAUGCUGUGAUAUUUUGUUUGGUUUUGUGUUUUUGUUUAUUUGUGCAGGUUAUGGCUCGAAGGACACAAAGAACCAACCCACCCGAGGAUGUGACCGAUCAUCGCUUUUUACAAUUUCCGCAAACGCUGAACGAUGCUACCCGGGCGCGUUAUGUUACCAAUUUGAGCUUGCUUCUCACAAAGGAGAUUGAUAUUGCACCCUCAUUUGACUGGGAGUUGGCUACCAGGAUUGGACUUGCUGCAUUGAUCCAGGAAUUUUUGCAAUACACACACUCGGACGCGAGUGGUGUGGAAUUGUUUGUGUGUCAGGGAUGGGCGCGUUUGUUCAGGAUCCAGGAGCCUGUGUAUCGGGAGUUUUUGCUGGAGUUCUACGCUACAGUUUCCUAUGAUCCUAGGAAGGCACUCGAUGACAGGACAACCUUUGCUUUCAGACUGGGAGGAGUGAGCCGGGAAUGCAGCGUGAUAGAGCUAGCUACUCGGGUUGGUAUUUACANCCACUUCUCGACAUUCCUUGCUGAUUGUCUCAUGGACCGGCCGGAGGACUAUAAUGAGAACACAUUUUGGGCCGAGAUUACGGGAGGAGUUUAUACACCAUCUACCGCUCGAGGGGGGAUGAUUCGGUCCACUACAUACCGAAUGUUGCACCGGUUGAUUUCUAUCUCUCUCACGCAUCACAAGAAUAGUGCGAGAGUGCCUUCGACGGACCUGUAUUUCCUAUGGGCACUAGUUACUCCAGGGAGGCACCUGAACCUUCCCGUUGCUUUAGCUGCAUACUUGGGACGGAGGGCCAGGGGACUUCGGGGAGAUAGCCCGAUAUGCGGAGGGCAUUUUAUCACACGGUUAGCUCGAUCAUACCAGUUGAUGACACGUGAGAUCACGAGAUCGAUGGUGUUUCACGACAUGAGGCCGAUGAGUCUUCAGCUAUUGGAGUCGAUGCGUGUAUUAGAGCGGGGUGGUGAUGGUGUUUUGAGGGUUCGAGCAGAUGAUGAGGCAGAAGCGGAGGGUGCUGCCGAGCCACAGCCGAGACGGGUCCAGCGGCGUCGACCUGCUCCUCGGGGAGCGCAGCAGGGACCUGAGCGGGAGAUUGAUAUGCGCUACCUGGCUCAGGGCAUUGACCGUCUUAGCGAGUAUGUUGCACAUGUGGACAUGCAACAGCAGUGGUAUGGGAAUGCGUUGAACGCAUUCUUUGCCCAUCAGGGGUUUCAGUAUUCGGUUCCCUUUCCACCACCAUUCCAGUCACGAUUUGAUGGGGCCGGUACUUCUGGGACACAGCCACAUGAUGAUGGAGAUGACGAGUGAUCCUUUUUAUUUUGUUUUAUUUGUUUUGUGUUAUUUUUAGUUUAGUUUAGUUUUUAGUAUUUGGUAUGUAAUUAAACUUUGAUUUAGUUUGUUUUACUUUGUUUUCCAUGUUGAUGCUCUUUGGUUGUUUAGAUUUCUGCAGAAUUUUCGCCCUUAGGAAGCUGGCAGUAAGUUCAGCAGCUAGGUCCGACUGUUGCUAGAGAGAGCGGUAUGAGAGUUGAAGAUUAUAGUCGAGACCCACGAUUUGUCAUAAGUGUGGGGUGCAUAUUUAUUUCGUGAGCGAUCGUUUUGAAGAUUGGCAUUGUUACGAUGUUUUGACUCUUAUGAUAUGGAUGAGCAGUUCCCAUACUAUAGAGUUUUAUUUCGACGCGAGGAAGAAGUAUCGUCCCGGCUGCCACGACAUGGUUGACACUUUCCUAUGUUAUGGGGGAUUUUUCAUCGCGAGUAGAGGAUGUCAUUCUUGACGAGACGACGUGGUCGACACUUUCCCACGUCAUGGUUACUAUGCUUUGCAUUUAUUUGCAAUAUUUUGCACCACAUUUUUGAAGAUGGCGGUCUUGAUUUUAUUUUUCGGCAAAUUCAGAGGCAGCAGUUCCAGUUUUCAGUCUUUCGGCGAUAUUUGAAGCAACUUGUAGCAGCCCCAUUCGAUCUCGCCACAACUACCCAGGGGAGUCUGUUCCUUUUUCUCCCUUUUUAUGUUCUUAAUUUGUUUUAGCAUACAAUGAGGGCAUUGUAUGAAAUAAGUGUGGGGUAGGGGAUCGGUAAAAGUAAAUUAAAAUUAAGAGAAAAAUGAAAUUGCUAGAAUUUGGAAAAUUUAAAAAUUUUAAAAACUUGAAAUAAUAGUUUAAUUUAGAAAAAUCUAGUGAUAAUUUAAAUUUUGCUAAUAUUGUAUGAAAUGAUCCGAUGAGAACUCAAAUGUUUAGUUGAGCCAAUAUACGUUAUAGUGCAUUUGUGGCCUCCCUUAUUUUAGUGAAAUCAUGGAACAAAAACAUAACCCCGCUUGGUUUGAGGGAUGCAAUAUGUUUAGCAGCCUAAACCUGAAAUGUAUCCAGGAAAAUUAUUAUCAUUAACCAAUAAAGGUUGAGGUUGAGCGCCUCUGCUUAAGCAUGUAGGGAUUUAAGAAAAAAAAAGUGAGUUACAUGUGAAAAAAAAAAGAGAAUAACGAAAAAAGUUUGAAGAAUUUUGGAGCAAAUAAAGUAAAGAUCAAAAGAUCAAAAUUCUGAAGAAAUUCAAAAAGUUGAAGAUACCAGAAAUCAAUUCAAAUAAGGUGUUGAAUUCAAAGAAAUCAAAGAUCAAAUUGCCAAAGAAAUGAAGAAUUCAAAUAAAGCUCCAUAGUGGUAUCAUAAAGUUGUAAUUUUCUAGAAUAUGUAUGCUUAGGUUGCUCAACUAAAAAUACCUUGAGGUUAGGAGGUUUUCUGCGGAUGGAUUCGGAGGGUUGCAUAAAAUGAGCAUUGUUCGGAAAAAGUGGGCGAGUGUUUAUGAAGAUUGUGAGUAUUUAAAAUAUGGGGGGGUACUUUAGGAAAAUAUUAGACACAAAUGUACGCGUUGAGGUCUUGGCAUAAUGGCUGAGUUUUAAAUGGAUUGUUUAGUGCGAUAUUGGUAAAAUAAAAGUAAAUUUGCUUGGGGGCAAGCAAAGGCUAAGUGUGGGGUAUUUUGAUAUGUGUAUUUUUAUAUAUAUUUUUAUGCACUUUAUCUUAAUAUUUUGGCCUUAUUUAUUCUAUUUUAGAACUAAAAAGUACUCAUAAUACUUUGAAUUAUGUUUUGCAGCUAUUCGUUGCCGAUAAAGCACAAAAGAAAAGACUGAAGCGGAAACCGGGCUUAGAAGCUAAAAGAAAGAAAAGAAUGCUGAGGUAGCGAGUACGCCCCGCGUAAUGAAAUGGUACGCGCCGCGUACAGACUUGCCUCGGAUAAACUUGAUCGCGUGAUUAUCUUGAGUACGCGCUGCGUAAUCCUAAGUACGCCCAGCGUACUUAGGUCGGCCACAAAGAUUAUAAAUAUCGAUUUUUAGCUAACCAGGAGGGAGGAUUCGACUUCUAACCUAAUUUAGUCGACAAUUAACUUCUGUUAAGCCGUUUUGAGGGUCUAGAAGGCGGCCGGAAGGCCGUUAAGCUAACGGGAGCAGAGAUCGGAAGGGUUGGAGAGCGGAUACAUGUCGGUUAUCAUAUGGAUUGUUAACGUGACCAUGUUUAGCAUUCCAUUGUGGUACUUUUCUGUAUUUAGUUUCUGAUUUAGGUGUAAAAACCUUUUACUUUGUGUUUAUGAUUGAAUGAAGCUUUGAUUAUUAGACUAAUUGCUAUAUUAAAUAGUUUAUUUGUGUUUAAUUUAUCUUGCCAAGCUUGUUUAAAGAUCCUCAUGUGUUAAUGAUGAUUAUUUUCUGUUAAUUGUUAAGUGAAUUGAGUUGCUUGAACAUCCGCUUGAUUUGCUUGUCUCUUAUGAUUUUUGAUGACCAUCGAGAUUAUAAGACUAGAAAUAACGAAUGUGAAACUAGGAUUAAUUUGAGAAUAAGUAAGUUAAUGUGUGAGCCUUGUUUGAUGACCAUCAACAAGAGGUUAAUUAAAUGUCUACAUUGAUUAACUAUAUUUACAAGUCUUGCUUGAUACGAACUGAACACUAGGAAGCAUGUUAGUUUAAUCAACUGAUCACUGUUUGAAUUGACUUGUUUGCUAAAGGAUUAGUUAUAGUGAACGCGAAUCUAAUCAUUUUAGGAAUCGGUGAACAUUGAAUAAAUGAAUUUGUGUAUGCAAUUGUCUAUGUUUUUAAGGUGUAAUUUAUCUAAACCAAAGUACCUGAAGAGAUGUGCUUUCCUGUUAGUUUAUCGAGAGUAGUUAAUUAAUUGUUAGUUUGAUAUUUCUUUAUUCUUUUCGUAUGACAUAUAACCUAUAACCAAAUAUAUUAAAUUAAUCCACCAUUCCCUGUGAUCGACACCCGACUUACCUAAGCUAUACUGUAAUCUGACUAGGUACACUGCCUAUAAGUGCAUAGAUAGUCUAAGUUUGUUAGGUUAUAAAUAUUAAAAUUAGUGGGUACUUUUGUGCUCAUCAGUAGGCAAUUUUACACAUUGAUGAUAUGUUGAUGGAACCGCUUUCAUCUCGUGGAUCCACGGUCUACCUAGUGUCACAUUAUAAGAAGAUAAGGUGUCAAUAACACAAAAAUUUUGUAUAAAGUUUACCCCCUCUAUGUAUAUUGGUAGCUUAAUUUCCCCAAUCGUGUGUUUUGUUUCCCCAUUAAAUCCUAUGAGGACCGAGGAUCUCUU